GCCUUUCUGAGUUUCUUGGUCAGAGCUUCCUCACUGAUCUUCUGAUAACAUUUCUCGAGCUCAGAAGACCUGAUUCUAUCAGCAUAUGAUCGUAACAUUUUAAUGGUCGGGACUGUCUCCAAUGAGUCUCUCCACGACUCGAACCUUUUCAAUUCUUGCGUGAUGAUCACUUGAGCCUCCAUUGCUUUCCUUAGCCUAUCUUCCUUGUUCGCUUCCACUACCUCUUUAAGGUCAUCAACAUUG
rnacentral:misc_RNA from 1 species